rnacentral:rRNA from 1 species
UGGGGGCUUGCGGUGGGUACGGGCCGGCUUGAGUGCGGUAGGGGAGGCUGGAACUCCUGGUGUAGCGGUGGAAUGCGCAGAUAUCAGGAAGAACACCGGUGGCGAAGGCGGGUCUCUGGGCCGUUACUGACGCUGAGGAGCGAAAGCGUGGGGAGCGAACAGGAUUAGAUACCCUGGUAGUCCACGCCGUAAACGUUGGGCACUAGGUGUGGGGGGCCUUUUCCGGGUUUUCCGCGCCGUAGCUAACGCAUUAAGUGCCCCGCCUGGGGAGUACGGCCGCAAGGCUAAAACUCAGAGGAAUUGACGGGGGCCCGCACAAGCGGCGGAGCAUGCGGAUUAAUUCGAUGCAACGCGAAGAACCUUACCAAGGCUUGACAUGUGCCGGUCGGCUCCGGAGACGGGGUUUCCUCCUUGUGGGGCCGGUUCACAGGUGGUGCAUGGUUGUCGUCAGCUCGUGUCGUGAGAUGUUGGGUUAANNCCCGCAACGAGCGCAACCCUUGUCUCGUGUUGCCAGCACGUUGUGGUGGGGACUCGCGGGAGACUGCCGGGGUCAACUCGGAGGAAGGUGGGGAUGACGUCAAAUCAUCAUGCCCCUUAUGUCUUGGGCUUCACGCAUGCUACAAUGGCCGGUGCAGAGGGCUGCGAUACUGUGAGGUGGAGCGAAUCCCUUAAAGCCGGUCUCAGUUCGGAUCGG